GAUGAACGCUGGCGGCGUGCCUAAUACAUGCAAGUCGAGCGAACGGACGAGAAGCUUGCUUCUCUGAUGUUAGCGGCGGACGGGUGAGUAACACGUGGAUAACCUACCUAUAAGACUGGGAUAACUUCGGGAAACCGGAGCUAAUACCGGAUAAUAUUUUGAACCGCAUGGUUCAAAAGUAAAAGACGGUCUUGCUGUCACUUAUAGAUGGAUCCGCGCUGCAUUAGCUAGUUGGUAAGGUAACGGCUUACCAAGGCAACGAUGCAUAGCCGACCUGAGAGGGUGAUCGGCCACACUGGCACUGAGACACGGUCCAGACUCCUACGGGAGGCAGCAGUAGGGAAUCUUCCGCAAUGGGCGAAAGCCUGACGGAGCAACGCCGCGUGAGUGAUGAAGGUCUUCGGAUCGUAAAACUCUGUUAUUAGGGAAGAACAUAUGUGUAAGUAACUGUGCACAUCUUGACGGUACCUAAUCAGAAAGCCACGGCUAACUACGUG
rnacentral:rRNA from 1 species